CACAAGCCUAAGAUCACCAUGUGCAAUGUCAAGCGUCGGCUGGAGUGGUGUAAAGGUCACGGACAUUGGACUCUGGAGCAGUGGAAUCUCGUUCUUUGGAGUGAUAAAUCACGCUUCACCAUCAGGCAGUCCAAUCAACAAAGCUGGGUUUGGCAGAUGCCAGAAGAACGCUACCUGCCCGAAUGCAUAGUGCCAACUGUAAAGUUUGGUGGAGAAGGAAUAAUGGUCUGGGGCUGUUUUUCACGGUCCGGGCUAGGCCCCUUAGUUCCAGUGAAGGGAAAUCUUAACGCUACAGCAUACAAUGACAUUCUAGACGAUUCUGUGCUUCCAACUUUGUAGCAACAGUUUUGGGGAAGGCCCUUUACUUUUUCAGCAUGAUCAAACACCGUUGGGAUGAAUUGGAACGCUGACUGCGAGCCAGACCUAAUCGCCCAACAUCAGUGCCCAACCUCACUAAUUCUCUUGUAGCUGAAUGGAAGAAAGUCCCUGCAGCAAUGUUAAAAUAUCUAGUGGAAAGCCUCCCCAGAAGAGUGGAGGCUGUUAUAGCAGCAAAUACCCAUGAUUCUGGAAUGAGAUGUUCGACGAGCAGAUGUCCACAUACUUUUGGUCAUGUAGUGUAGGUUAUAGCAAUUUGUCAGUCCAUGACACAGUCCAUCACACAGUCCAUCACACAGUCCAUCACACAGUCCAUCACACAGUCCUUGACGUGACACAAACACUGAUUGUUGCCUCGCCUUAGCUAUGGAACGCGCCUCGAGUUUCAUCAGGCUUCUUGCCAUGUUUAAAAGAACUGAGGACUUGAAAUUAGGGAAACAUUUUUGAACGGUCAUUUAACUCGUAUUUCCAAGUCGGAAACUUUCAGGAGCUCGGACAUUCUGACCUAAAGAUCACGGACGCCCUGAUUUUACCUUUUAUUCCUGAGUUCCCAGUUGUCUGGAAAGCACCAUUAUACCCAUAUCUAGUGAUGACUUCACUGGUGACGUCAUUACCGGUAUCUAGUGGUGACGUCAUUACCGGUAUCCAGUGGAGACGUCAUUACCGGUAUCCAGUGGCGACGUCAUUACCGGUAUCCAGUGGCGACGUCAUUACCGGUAUCCAGUGGCGACGUCAUUACCGGUAUCCAGUGGCGACGUCAUUACCGGUAUCUAGUCGUGACGUCAUUACCGGAAUCUAGUCAUGACGUCAUUACCGGUAUCUAGUGGUGACUUCACUUCCCAGUGUUUGUUUAUCAAUGGGCGGAUUUGAUUAUGCUAAGCCACGUGGCACCAGUCUAUGGUCUUCUUUCACCGCGAAUGAAGCACCCUUCUCAAAUCCAACAGUAAUCUACAAAUCCAACAGUAAUCUACGAAUCCAACAAUCUACAAAUCCAACAGUAAUCUACGAAUCCAACAGUAAUCUACGAAUCCAACAGUAAUCUACGAAUCCAACAGUAAUCUACGAAUCCAACAGUAAUCUACGAAUCCAACAGUAAUCUACGAAUCCAACAGUAAUCUACGAAUCCAACAGUAAUCUACGAAUCCAACAGUAAUCUACGAAUCCAACAGUAAUCUACGCAGCUCUGCGAUUUUGUCAACAAGGCAGCAUGGUGUAUCAUACAUCUCUUUUCCAUAAAGUAUUUUUUGUUCAUUGGGAAGACCGAAAGCGUUUUAUUUUCAAUCAAAAUGCAAUCCCUUUUGCCUGUGAAACCACAGAAUCCUAGUAAUUACAACACGUGCUUAAUUACAUCACUUUUGUUUUGAGCAGAUGUCGCCUGUGGUUUUAAACGAUAAGGGUCUUGUCCGUCUGAACGUCUGGGAGACCAGGUAGGGUUUAGUCCAUCUGAAGGCUCCCUAUGUAGUGCACUACUUUAGCUCUAUGAGGCACCCUAUGUGUCUGGAAGUUGGGUAUAGAAAGGGAUUUGAGGUCCAUUGGACCCUCUCUACUAAUGAUCCUGGUCAUCAAGUCUCCUCCAUCACUGCUAACGACUCUGGAUGAAACCGUUAAUCUGUGACUCUGUCUGUCCAGAGCUCUUUAUUGUCAUUUACAGCUGUGAGUUUGUCUGUCAUGUGACGCGGCUGCAGAGCACCUGAUAAUGAUGAUUAUGAUGAUGUAAAGAAACAAAGGCCUGUCCAAAUUAAUAAAAUGUUUGUUUAACCUUUC